rnacentral:misc_RNA from 1 species
GAUGAAGAACGCAGCGAAAUGCGAUAAGUAAUGUGAAUUGCAGAAUUCAGUGAAUCAUCGAAUCUUUGAACGCACAUUGCGCCGGCCAGUAUUCUGGCGGGCAUGCCUGUUCGAGCGUCAUUUCAACCAUCAAGCCCCAGGCUUGUGUUGGGGACCUGCGGCUGCCGCAGGCCCUGAAAACCAGUGGCGGGCUCGCUGUCACACCGGGCGUAGUAGAUUUUAUCUCGCUCAGGGCGUGCUGCGGGUUCCGGCCGUUAAAAAGCCUUUUUUACCCAAGGUUGACCUCGGAUCAGGUAGGAAGACCCGCUGAACUUAAGCAUAUCAAUAAGCGGAGGA